GGGGUGACAAAUGUCGCAGCCAGAUCACCCUCACAUCCAGAGAAAUGAGAGCUAUAUUUCCAAUCUGGCUGGCUAGGCGGGUGUCCCCUUCCUCCAUCACCGCUCCAUGUGCAUCCCUCCCGAAUCUGCAUGCUCGGUGGAAGAAGACGACCAUCCCAGAUAGAAGGAGUGUACCAUUCUUCGGUCAAGAGUGUACGAUAGCUGUGCUCCCCUGCUAGAACCUCCAAACAAGUUCAAGGUCUAUUUGUAGGAGAAACUGACUCAGGUCACCCAGCUUACUACAGAGCAUGCCAAACCUGAUGUUUUUGCUACAGUUUGGU